rnacentral:snRNA from 1 species
GUGCCUGCUUUUGGCGGCACAUAUCCUAAAAUGGACCAAAUACAGAGAAAUUAGCAUGGCGUUCUGCAUAAGAGCAGCAACAACUCUUUUUGAAGCAUUCCAUAUUUUG